UCCUGCUGUUCGUGACUUGUACCAUCCAAUGGCUUCUCCACCAUUAGCUGAAUUUAUCAUCCACUCACUACUUCAUACUCAGUGCCCUGCUGGGUAGCAGUCUAAUGUCAGACCAUAUAAUGAAAUACCACUCAGCAAUAAAAAGGUCAACCAAGAGAGUACCAACUGGCUGGCUAUUUACAUUUCCACAAGAAAACAACAGACAACUUACAGCUGCCUAUAAAUAUAGUGGAGGACACUUGAAAUGGGAAACCAGAUAAUCAAUCUGCCUCACUGGCACAAAUUUACUGAGCGAAUUCUCGCCGGGUGUGCUGUCUAUGCAGGAUUUUAUAUAUUCUUCACACUGUCUGGCUGAAUUAUAUUCAUAUAAAUGAAAUAAAUCUCCCUUUGAAUCCACAACAAAAGUGGAAUGGUUUAGAAUUUUGAGCAAAGUGGUACACUCACCAUCAGGAAUAUUGUGCCCAAACACGAGAUAUUAUGUUUUGUUAUAUUCUUAG
rnacentral:lncRNA from 10 species